AACGAACGCUGGCGGCAGGCCUAACACAUGCAAGUCGAGCGAGAACUUCGGUUCUAGCGGCGGACGGGUUAGUAACGCGUGGGAAUCUACCCAAUGGUACGGAAUAACUCAGGGAAACUUGAGCUAAUACCGUAUGUGCCCGAAAGGGGAAAGAUUUAUCGCCAUUGGAUGAGCCCGCGUCGGAUUAGCUAGUUGGUGGGGUAACGGCCCACCAAGGCGACGAUCCGUAGCUGGUCUGAGAGGAUGAUCAGCCACACUGGGACUGAGACACGGCCCAGACUCCUACGGGAGGCAGCAGUGGGGAAUAUUGGACAAUGGGCGCAAGCCUGAUCCAGCCAUGCCGCGUGAGUGAUGAAGGCCCUAGGGUUGUAAAGCUCUUUCGACGGGGACGAUAAUGACGGUACCCGUAGAAGAAGCCCCGGCUAACUUCGUGCCAGCAGCCGCAGUAAAAC
rnacentral:rRNA from 1 species